CCCCUUCCCUUCGCCUGAGGAAAACACUAUAUCAGCCUUGCCGGUCUUCGGGCCGGCUAUGGCGAUAAACGAGCGGUGUAAUAAACCUAUUGGACCCGGGGGCGGUACCCGGCGCCUCCACCAAAAACCGACCGGGCCAAACUGGCUAAAGACCGGCUUUUGAUGGGGGCGAAACAGGAUCGACAAGGGUGUAAAGAUCGACUUUUCGCUCGGCAUUGUACCACCGUUAUCGGGCUAAAAUUGUAGUUGCAAACGACAACUAUGCGGAAGCUCGUCUCGCUGCUUAAUCGCAGUGUGGCACUUCAAAUAAAGUCCUAAGGGGUCGCACUCUUAGGCGGGGUUCGAAGGCACCUGGCAACAGAAGCCUUCACC
rnacentral:tmRNA from 1 species